CGCGAAGAAUUCAGAGCGUCUCUGACCAACCGCCGAAAUCACGUCAGGUGAUCUCACAAAAACAAACUAUCUGGACAACUAACAGGGUCGCACGGAUGAAGGUGUGUGUGGAUGAAGAACAACCUUGACCACGCCUCCUGGCAGUAAUAACCCACAAUUCCUCACGCUCCUUCAUUUAUUAUCUUCUGCUAAAGUCAGCAUUUAUAUGAGGCUGUAAAGUAUUUAUAUCAACACCACAGUGACCUCUAGUGGCUGCUUCUGACUACUGCACACAGAAUAAUGACCUUGAGAAACGGGAAGGGGGCUAUAAUGAUG